CUUCAAGGAGUUCUAGGUUUUGCACCGCUAGCCCAAGGGCUUCCUUUUUCUCCUCUCCUUGUCCCGUGAAAACACUCCAUAUUGAUGGCAGAAGCUGCAGAUGAAAGACAAGUAUCAAUGUAAUUCAUUCUUGAAAAAGAUCAAUGGUUUCUUACCUUCUCUUCCCCGAAUUUUGCCCAAAAACGUGCCAUGGCUUUCUCGUAAGGAUCCUGAGGUAGCAAAGGAGCUUCCUUCCAUGUCUCGUCGAUAUACUCAAGAAUAACCAGCGAUUCACAGAUUGGUUUGCCUUUGUGUACAAGCACAGGAAUCUUUUUGUGAAUAGGAUUAUACUGGAGGAGUUCAGGGCUCUUCUGGCUUAAAUCUUCAAAAAUGGCGUCAUAUUCAAUCCCUUUGAUAUGUAGCGCCCAAACGAUCCUCAAACCAAAUGGGCUUGACCAUGUCCUGUGAAGCUUUAGUUCUUCUGCCAUGUUGUUUUGCAAGUGAUAUUUCAUAUUUUAAAACCAACUCUGAUGUCA